AAAGGAAGGAAUAACUCACCAGUCUAUUUCACCUAUAUUUUAUGUUCACACAGGAAUGGCCAAGUAGGACUAUAAACCGCUUUCGAAGAUACAAAACAAAACCCCUAAGUGAUAAGAAAGCCUCAUGUCGUGGGGUAAUGGUAACAUAUCUUUCUCUUUGUGGUUCACGAAAUGAUGGUUCUUUCUGCUCAGGUGUGUAUUUGACCAUCGUGAGAGUCAACGGCACAGAACAACCUACGUGGGCGUACUCGCUGGCUUCUGAAAGCCUCUUUGCGUCCCUUUCCCGGUGAAAGUCUGGGGGAAGACAAAUUCGAGCAUCUGUUUGGACAGGGGCCAUUUGGAGAACGGGACUGUCCUCUGUGUGGAUUUAUGAGUUUGCCGGAGCACAGAAUAGGAGUGCAGAAGGGAGGCAGUGAAGGAGACAAACAAGGAAGAAGGUGCGGAGAAGAGGCAGAAGUCCAGGGAGAAGGAAGCUGGCGGAGGUGAAGAGACCUACGAGAGGUCCUUGAGCUGGAGACGUCAGACCACAAGGGUUCACCAACGUCCGGGUGGGGUGAUUUCAAAGGGCACUUGGGAAUUCCAAAGAUACACAGGAAAUUGUUUGCACUGUGUGCCCCACGGCAGGGGCUCCUCUGUCGAAUACUGAGUGGCGGGAGACAGGCGCAGAACGCACCCAAGGUAAAAAGAGAUCGGUCCCAGAUUCUGUCCUUCCCGCGGGAGGGA